CCUACGGGAGGCUGCAGUGAGGAAUAUUGGUCAAUGGACGCAAGUCUGAACCAGCCAUGCCGCGUGCAGGAAGACGGCUCUAUGAGUUGUAAACUGCUUUUGUACGAGGGUAAACGCAGAUACGUGUAUCUGUCUGAAAGUAUCGUACGAAUAAGGAUCGGCUAACUCCGUGCCAGCAGCCGCGGUAAUACGGAGGAUUCAAGCGUUAUCCGGAUUUAUUGGGUUUAAAGGGUGCGUAGGCGGUCGGAUAAGUUAGAGGUGAAAUCCCGAGGCUCAACUUCGGAAUUGCCUCUGAUAUGGUUGGGCUAGAGAGUAGUUGCGGUAGGCGGAAGGUAUGGUGUAGGGGUGAAAUGCUAAGAGUGCAUAAAGAACCCCGAUGGCGAAGGCAGCUUACCAAGCUACUUCUGAGGUUGGGGCACGAAA
rnacentral:rRNA from 1 species